CGCCUUCGUCCCUCUGAGGACGCUGUUCAUUCCUCUUCCUAAAAUGGUUUCCCUUUCUUCUCUUUACUGAGUUGAUGUUGAAUUAAGGGAAUUCAUUUUAGGAAGGGAAUGAAUACUGUCAUCAGAGAGAUUCUCUGUUG
rnacentral:pre_miRNA from 1 species